UGGUAGAUGCACCCUGAUUCGACCCCUCUGGAGUUCUUUGGAAUUCCGGGGGUUUUUUUU
rnacentral:sRNA from 1 species